UACGUAGGUGGCAAGCGUUGUCCGGAAUUAUUGGGCGUAAAGCGCGCGCAGGCGGUUCCUUAAGUCUGAUGUGAAAGCCCACGGCUCAACCGUGGAGGGUCAUUGGAAACUGGGGAACUUGAGUGCAGAAGAGGAGAGCGGAAUUCCACGUGUAGCGGUGAAAUGCGUAGAGAUGUGGAGGAACACCAGUGGCGAAGGCGGCUCUCUGGUCUGUAACUGACGCUGAGGCGCGAAAGCGUGGGGAGCGAACAGGAUUAGAAACC
rnacentral:rRNA from 1 species